GCGUUUGUCGUGUUGAUUUUGUGUGCUUUACAUUCUCUCGUUCCUCGCCCGACUUUAGAAGAAAUAGGAAAGAGUAUUAAAUUAACGGGAUAAUGCAUGAAAUCCUUCCCAAUCUAUGACUAUAUUACCAACUAUAUACACCUUUUGUUUUGUUGGAUUCUAUUAUCCUCUUGAACUUAUUUUUUUCGAAAUUUAUUUAACAUUAUAUGCUUAUGCCAAAUAAGCCAUAAGAAAAGGUCCCAAACGUUAAACUCAACUAUUUUAUUUGAACCCAUUCUUUUAUCACUCCUCCUAAACUUAAUCUAUAUGUCGUUGUUGAAGAGCUUCUAUUGGUGGUGCUGAAUUGAAGAGAAAUUAGGGCUAUGAAAUGGCAAAUACCAACUUGAAUAGACUUCGUAUGGACGAUGAAGACCCAAUGCUCAAUGUUGAAGUGCGAUGCAAACAUGAAAUACUGUUGCAAAUGCAGACUUCUUGGUCGAAGCGUAAUCCGGGCAGAAGAUUUUGGUCUUGCCCCUACUAAGGUGCCAUUAGUUGCAAAUGUUUUCAAUGGAGGGACAAUGAAGUUAACAAAAGAUCGAAAUUUAUUCUUCCAAAAUUUUUCAACAAAAUUAAAGAGAUGGAAGAAGAUUUGGUGCGUUAUGACAACCUCAAGAUGCAGUUGGUUGAGCUUGAAAGUAUGAAAAAGAAAAGGAUUUGGUGUUGGUUGAAUACGAAGUUUAUUUUGUGUAUUACGAUUUGUCUUUGAUGUUAUGUGUAUCAACAGCCUAAUCCAAGUUGGCAACUUAGAGAGUGAUCAAAUGGAGCUGCAAUAGCAGUUAUUUGUGUUAUAGCAAUUAUUUAAAAGUGAUCGGUUAAGGCCGUAACAACUCUGUUUUGUUG